GACGGAUUGGCGGCAGCGAGAAGGCAGUGCAGGUGUGCGAGUUACUUUAAGGCUUUGAAAAACCUGGCAAUGAAUUAUUCUGGCUGAGUUCUGUCGCUUAUCAAGCAAAAAUCUGAGUUGCGAUCAGAGUUCUUCAAAGAUCUCGACAAAUAUACUCCUCGCUUCCUGGAGAAGUUCAAAACCCAGAGGGGGAAAGUGUCGGACAGAAACUUGAAUAUCUGCAACAAGUCACACCUGGGAGUACAGAUGUGACUGGGAGGUGAACAGCAGUCCUCCGUGGCUCUCCCGUCAUCCUUGGAGAUGACAACGCAGACUUCUUCAAGAAUUUGACUCUGAUGACCUUCUGGACGUGUCCCACGCCUCCAUUGGGACCCUGACGGUGAUGAAGACAUUGUGGCCUCCUUACUCGCUGGACCUGGAGUCUACAACUACUGCCAUCGUUUUGGGAGGAACAGUCGUGAUGGGUGACCGUGAUCAUCUUCCCCGUGCCGUGUGGCUACUCUUCGGACUUAUUUACCCCUGAAUUUGGAGUAUCCUCAACGAGUGAGGAACACCUUCUGAAUUUAUUCAUAGAGUGCUUCUCACUUGGACCAAAAACCCUAAAAUACAAUCACUCAAAUAUCUACUGAUGCCAUAAGGGACUGUGUUCAUGAUGUGCAGUCAGGCCCGAGAACUUCACCCUUCUAUCUCCAAUUGAACUCUUUUCUAGAAAAUGUCUGUUUUUGUUGUUUUUCUGUCGUGAAAUUUAGCAAAUGCCGAAAACGCUGUGUUCAUCAUAUUUCUGCGUUACAAAACCUAAUCUGGCAACAUGUUCAGCGUUUUAAGCACGUUGUUUGAG